rnacentral:rRNA from 1 species
AACGAACGCUGGCGGCAGGCUUAACACAUGCAAGUCGAACGCAUCGCAAGAUGAGUGGCAGACGGGUGAGUAACGCGUGGGAACAUACCCUUUUCUACGGAAUAGCUCUGGGAAACUGGAAUUAAUACCGUAUACGCCCUACGGGGGAAAGAUUUAUCGGGGAAGGAUUGGCCCGCGUUGGAUUAGCUAGUUGGUGGGGUAAAGGCCUACCAAGGCGACGAUCCAUAGCUGGUCUGAGAGGAUGAUCAGCCACAUUGGGACUGAGACACGGCCCAAACUCCUACGGGAGGCAGCAGUGGGGAAUAUUGGACAAUGGGCGCAAGCCUGAUCCAGCCAUGCCGCGUGAGUGAUGAAGGCCCUAGGGUUGUAAAGCUCUUUCACCGGAGAAGAUAAUGACGGUAUCCGGAGAAGAAGCCCCGGCUAACUUCGUGCCAGCCGCCGCCGUAACAC